rnacentral:rRNA from 1 species
UACGUAGGGGGCAAGCGUUGUCCGGAAUUAUUGGGCGUAAAGAGCGCGUAGGCGGUCCGAUAAGUCGGCUGUGAAAGUCCAGGGCUCAACCCUGGAAAGCCGGCCGAUACUGUCGGACUAGAGUCCGGAAGAGGCAAGUGGAAUUCCCGGUGUAGUGGUGGAAUGCGUAGAUAUCGGGAGGAACACCAGUGGCGAAGGCGGUUGCCUGGGGCUUUGCUGACGCUGAGGCGCGAAAGCGUGGGGAGCGAUCCGG